AUUGAACGCUGGCGGCAUGCCUUACACAUGCAAGUCGAGCGAGUGGAGUUCUUCGGAACAAAGCUAGCGGCGGACGGGUGAGUAACACGUGGGCAACCUGCCUCAUAGAGGGGAAUAGCCUCCCAAAAGGGAGAUUAAUACCGCAUAAGAUUGUAGCUUCGCAUGAAGUAGCAAUUAAAGGAGCAAUCCGCUAUGAGAUGGGCCCGCGGCGCAUUAGCUAGUUGGUGAGGUAACGGCUCACCAAGGCGACGAUGCGUAGCCGACCUGAGAGGGUGAUCGGCCACAUUGGGACUGAGACACGGCCCAGACUCCUACGGGAGGCAGCAGUGGGGAAUAUUGCACAAUGGGGGAAACCCUGAUGCAGCAACGCCGCGUGAGUGAUGACGGCCUUCGGGUUGUAAAGCUCUGUCUUCAGGGACGAUAAUGACGGUACCUGAGGAGGAAGCCACGGCUAACUACGUGCCAGCAGCCGCCGUAAUAC
rnacentral:rRNA from 1 species